AACGAACGCUGGCGGCGCGUCUUAAGCAUGCAAGUCGAACGGCAAGAUUUUGUAGCUUGCUACAAAAUCCUAGAGUGGCGGACUGGUGAGUAACACGUGGGUGACGUACCUUUCAGAUGGGGAUAGCUACUAGAAAUAGUAGAUAAUACCGAAUACGACCGUAGUUGUUAGAGGGCUACGAGGAAAGGAGCUAAGGCUCCGCUGAAAGAUUGGCCCGCGGCCCAUUAGCUAGUUGGUAGGGUAAAGGCCUACCAAGGCAAUGAUGGGUAUCCGGCCUGAGAGGGUGAUCGGACACAUUGGGACUGAGAUACGGCCCAG
rnacentral:rRNA from 1 species